rnacentral:rRNA from 1 species
AUUGAACGCUGGCGGCAGGCCUAACACAUGCAAGUCGAGCGGCAGCGGGAAAGUAGCUUGCUACUUUUGCCGGCGAGCGGCGGACGGGUGAGUAAUGCCUGGGAAAUUGCCCAGUCGAGGGGGAUAACAGUUGGAAACGACUGCUAAUACCGCAUACGCCCUACGGGGGAAAGCAGGGGACCUUCGGGCCUUGCGCGAUUGGAUAGUCCCAGGUGGGAUUAGCUAGUUGGUGAGGUAAUGGCUCACCAAGGCGACGAUCCCUAGCUGGUCUGAGAGGAUGAUCAGCCACACUGGAACUGAGACACGGUCCAGACUCCUACGGGAGGCAGCAGUGGGGAAUAUUGCACAAUGGGGGAAACCCUGAUGCAGCCAUGCCGCGUGUGUGAAGAAGGCCUUCGGGUUGUAAAGCACUUUCAGCGAGGAGGAAAGGUUGAUGCCUAAUACGCAUCAACUGUGACGUUACUCGCAGAAGAAGCACCGGCUAACUCCGUGCCAGCCGCCGCGGUAAUAC